rnacentral:rRNA from 1 species
GACAGAGGGGGCAAGCGUUGCUCGGAAUCACUGGGCGUAAAGGGCGCGUAGGCGGUUCGAUAAGUCGGACGUGAAAUCUCCACGCUCAACGUGGAGGGGCCGUUCGAUACUGUCGUGACUCGAGUCCGGUAGGGGAGUGUGGAAUUCCCGGUGUAGCGGUGAAAUGCGCAGAGAUCGGGAGGAACACCCGUAGCGAAGGCGGCACUCUGGGCCGGUACUGACGCUGAGGAGCGAAAGCGUGGGGAGCAAACAGG